UACGGAGGGAGCUAGCGUUAUUCGGAAUUACUGGGCGUAAAGCGUACGUAGGCGGCUUUGCAAGUUAGAGGUGAAAGCCUGGAGCUCAACUCCAGAACUGCCUUUAAAACUGCAUCGCUUGAAUCCAGGAGAGGUGAGUGGAAUUCCGAGUGUAGAGGUGAAAUUCGUAGAUAUUCGGAAGAACACCAGUGGCGAAGGCGGCUCACUGGACUGGUAUUGACGCUGAGGUACGAAAGCGUGGGGAGCAAACAGG
rnacentral:rRNA from 2 species